rnacentral:lncRNA from 1 species
UAGUAUAUAUCCUAGAGUACGUCCACACAGACAUACAUUCUGUUGAUGAUUUGGAUCGGCAGUAAUAUAUGGGGUGGCUAGCGAGGCGCAAAGAUUGAUGGUUAGGGUGAAGACACAUGAUUAUUACCCAGGUUCAGGCUCUCGGUAUGCGAGAUAAUACCAUACUCUUGCUUGGCGAUUGUACUCAAUUGUGGGCAUAUCAACUAGAGAAUAGCCGAUCUAAAUCACGUCCCCAUGGGGGUGUCCCUGUCCCCUUAUAUAGUGG